rnacentral:misc_RNA from 1 species
GAAGAAAGCCAAGGGGUGAGCACACGGCGGCCCCAUCAGGGCUCAUGUCCCCAGCCGUCACCUCUUGGAGCUCUGUCACCCCAAGCCUGGGAGGUGGCCCCAGAGCUUUUCCAGGAUCCGCGGCUCCUCCCAGGGCAGCCACUGCAGGCUGGGGCAGGUGAUGUAGUCAAGGUGAUCGUCUCCGUCCAGCGGAAAAGACAGGAGGCAGAAGGUGAGGCCACAGUCAUUGAGGCCCUGCAGGCCCCUCCGGACGUCACCACGGUGGCCGUGGAGGAGACAAUACCCUCAUUCACGGGGAGGAGCCCAAACCACUGACCCACAGACUCUGCACCCCGACGCCAGAGAUACCUGGAGCGACGGCUGCUGAAAGAGGCUGUCCACCUGGCGGAACCACCGGAGCCCGGAGGCUUGGGGGCUCCGCCCUGGGCUGGCUUCCGUCUCCUCCAGUGGAGGGAGAGGUGGGGCCCCUGCUGGGGUAGAGCUGGGGACGCCAC